UCGUCCACCCAAUAGCGCCACUAUAAAAUUACAACGCACACAGAUUCGAACUCAUAACUGUACAGGCAGGGAAUUCAUCCAGUAACUCUACUCAUUCCAAGCCACGCAGGAUACGGUUCUAGCGUUAACCAGGAUAAUGCACGACACCGAAGACCUGUCUAUAAAACGGUUCAGUCUACUGGUUGUGUUACUCUACGUGGUCUUUCUAGAGUUCUCAUCAGGAAAAUCUUUGAAUUGUUUUGCUCAAUGCCAAACACAGAAGGAUUGCAAGCAGUGCCACCUCAGACUUCCUCUACGAUUUGGAAAAAGGAACGACGACAAAAUUAGAGUUCCAAUGCGUUUCGGUAAACGUGAAAACUUGGCCAUAGAGGAGUACCCUGAUGAUGUAAAUCGACUAUACUUAAUCCAAGAUAAAGCUUCGGACGAGACCUUUGCUGUUGACAAUACUUAUGGCCCUGGAAUCAAAAGAAAAUUAGAGCUACUUCGUGAGGAAGCACAACUGAUUUCCAAGCUACUUGGAAGUUUCACGGAGAAUCUCUUAGACGUUGAACGGGAAUGGGAAAAUAAAUAAAGUUUCAAAUGGAUUUUCUCAACUGUUUUGUUAGUCUUGUUGUAAUUGAUAAUCAGAGCUUUUCUUGCUCAAUAUUUAGCUUAAGAUGUGAUCACAGUCUUUGAAUGCUAACAUAACUCAACACCUAAGAUCUGAUGUAAGAAUAAAACCAAAAGAUGAAAGAAAGUGUGAUUUACAUUAUUUCUUGCUUCUUUACCGUCAGAUUUUGUUGCCAUUUCUUUGCAUCACCGCUGUCUGAAUAAAAGUAUUACGUUAUCUG